AUUUAAGUCCCUUAUCGAGUAUCAAUUGGAGGGCAAGUCUGGUGCCAGCAGCCGCGGUAAUUCCAGCUCCAAUAGCGUAUAUUAAAGUUGUUGCAGUUAAAAGCUCGUAGUUGAAAUACUGACAUAGUCGACCGGUCUCACGCAUCGUCGUGAGCACUUGUGUUGUAUUAGGUCAUUCUUGGAUUUUAGCCAGUCUAGCAUUAAGUUGUCGGGUUGGUGAAAACCAUCGUUUACUGUGAAAAAAAUUAGAGUGUUCAAAGCAGACUUAUGUCGUUGAAUAGAUUAGCAUGGAAUAAUAAUAUAGGACUUUUGUACUAUUUCGUUGGUUAGGUGUAAAAGUAAUGAUCAAUAGGGACGGUUGGGCGUAUUCGUAUUUCGUUGCUAGAGGUGAAAUUCUUGGAUUUCCGAAAGACGAACUACUGCGAAAGCAUUUACGAAGGAUGUUUUCAUUAAUCAAGAACGAAAGUUAGGGGAUCGAAGAUGAUUAGAUACCAUCGUAGUCUUAACCAUAAACUAUGCCGACUCGGGAUUGGGCGUUGUUUUUUGACUCGUCCAGCACCGUAUGGGAAACCAUUAGUCUUUGGGUUCCGGGGGGAGUAUGGUCGCAAGACUGAAACUUAAAGAAAUUGACGGAAGGGCACCACCAGGAGUGGAGCCUGCGGCUUAAUUUGACCCAACACGGGAAAACUUACCAGGUCCAGACAUAAAUAGGAUUGACAGAUUGAGAGCUCUUUCUUGAUUUUAUGGGUGGUGGUGCAUGGCCGUUCUUAGUUGGUGGAGUGAUUUGUCUGGUUAAUUCCGUUAACGAACGAGACCGCCGCCUGCUAAAUAGUUCCGUGAAUCAUUUUUGAUUGAUGAGAGCUUCUUAGAGGGACGUCCAUUCUACAAGAUGGAGGAAGAUGGCGGCAAUAACAGGUCUGUGAUGCCCUUAGAUGUCCUGGGCCGCACGCGCGCUACACUGAUGCAUUCAACGAGUCAAAAACCUUGGCCGAGAGGCCUGGGUAAUCUUUUUAAUGUGCAUCGUGAUAGGGAUAGAUUAUUGCAAUUAUUAAUCUUGAACGAGGAAUUCCUAGUAAACGUAUAUCAUCAGUAUACAUUGAUUACGUCCCUGCCCUUUGUACACACCGCCCGUCGCACCUACCGAUUGAACGGUCCGAUGAACACCCGAGCGCGGACUUUGUUUCCUUCAUUGGAGAUUAAGACCGUAAACCCGUGUAAAUCUUAUCGUUUAGAGGAAGGUGAAGUCGU
rnacentral:rRNA from 1 species